UGGCACUGUUUUGGCGUCCGGAGGCGCGCUUGAGGGGGCGGGGAUUCCGACCCGCAUGAAUUUGCAUACAUUAUAGAGUGCGUUGCUCGUGCUGACCGAGCUGCCAUUUUUCUCUUUUUGCCUCUUUCAAUGGCUGCAUCAAGUUCAGGUGGACCCUCUAAACCGCAGUACAGGGAUUUGAGGUUCAAACUGCAAAAGUAUCUACAAGGAUGCCAGAGCCUUACUCCUGAUGGCCAGUGGUGAUGAUAACAUAUUAAGCAAUGGCAGAUUCCAGGCACAUAACGGUAAGACAAGUGUAGGUUUGGAAGUAACGUCUUUAUGGCAGUGUUGCAGGUCACCUUUUUUUUUUAUACAUCUUUGGUUGCCGUACUCUUUAAAACAAAAUAGUUGCGUGUCUGUCAGUGUAAAAAGGGUGCUGUGCCAAGCCAUUUGUAACUAAAUUAAUUUC
ensembl:lncRNA